rnacentral:rRNA from 1 species
UACGUAGGGGGCAAGCGUUGUCCGGAUUUAUUGGGCGUAAAGAGCGUGUAGGCGGCCAUGCAGGUCAGCUGUGAAAACUCGAGGCUCAACCUCGAGACGUCGGUUGAAACCGUAUGGCUAGAGUCCGGAAGAGGAGAGUGGAAUUCCUGGUGUAGCGGUGGAAUGCGCAGAUAUCAGGAGGAACACCGAUGGCGAAGGCAGAUCUCUGGGCCGUAACUGACGCUGAGGAGCGAAAGCGUGGGGAGCGAACAGG